rnacentral:rRNA from 1 species
GACGAAGGGGGCUAGCGUUGUUCGGAAUUACUGGGCGUAAAGCGAGUGUAGGUGGUUGUCCAAGUUGGAUGUGAAAGCCUUGAGCUCAACUCAAGAAAUGCAUUCAGGACUGGGCGACUAGAGGACCGGAGAGGAUAGUGGAAUUCCCAGUGUAGUGGUGAAAUACGUAGAGAUUGGGAAGAACACCAGUGGCGAAGGCGGCUAUCUGGACGGUUUCUGACACUAAGACUCGAAAGCGUGGGGAGCAAACAG